GUCUCAGCUGUGCAAAUCAGUAUUGCUCCAUCAAAGGCAAUGAAGCUUUUCUGAUUUGCACUAGCUGAGGAUCUAACUCA
rnacentral:miRNA from 1 species